rnacentral:snoRNA from 1 species
AUGGCCCUGACUGAAGGCCAGCAGUUAUACUAAGCUGUUGGUUUCAAGCAGAGGCCUAAAGAAUUGUCUUCUUAUGCUGUGUUAGCUGUUCUGGAACCUCAGUGGAGAAUGGCUGUUUCACUUGGAAGAAACAACC